NNNNNNNNNNNNNNNNNNNNNNNNNNNNNNNNNNNNNNNNNNNNNNNNNCGAUGCACAGCGGCACAGGCGCACGAUGCACGGCGACAUGGGUGCGCGAUGCACAGCAGCACGGGUGCACGAUGCACAGCGGCACAGGCGCACGAUGCACGGCGACAUGGGUGCGCGAUGCACAGCAGUACGGGUGCACGAUGCACAGCAGCACAGGCGCACGAUGCACGGCGACAUGGGUGCGCGAUGCACAGCAGUACGGGUGCACGAUGCACAGCAGCACAGGCGCACGAUGCACGGCGACAUGGGUGCGCGAUGCACAGCAGUACGGGUGCACGAUGCACAGCAGCACAGGCGCACGAUGCACGGCGACAUGGGUGCGCGAUGCACAGCAGUACGGGUGCACGAUGCACAGCAGCACAGGCGCACGAUGCACGGCGACAUGGGUGCGCGAUGCACAGCAGUACGGGUGCACGAUGCACAGCAGCACAGGCGCACGAUGCACGGCGACAUGGGUGCGCGAUGCACAGCAGUACGGGUGCACGAUGCACAGCAGCACAGGCGCACGAUGCACGGCGACAUGGGUGCGCGAUGCACAGCAGUACGGGUGCACGAUGCACAGCAGCACAGGCACACGAUGCACGGCGACAUGGGUGCGCGAUGCACAGCAGCUUGGGCAUGCGAUGCACGGUGGCUCAGUCACACGAUACCCGGCGGCUCGGGCAUGUGAUGCACAGCAGCACAGGCAUGCGAUGCCCUGUGGCUCAAGGGCACGAUGCCUGGGGGUUCGGUGUGCAAUGCAUGGUGACUUGGGUGCGCAAUGCACAGCGGCUCGGGUGUGUGAUGCACGGCAGCACAGGCAUGCCGAUGGAUGCACGAUACCUGGGGGCUCAGGCAUGCAAUGCACGGUGGCUCAGGCACGUGAUGGCCAGCACCUUGGGCACGUGUUGCCCAGCAGUGGGCACGCGAUGCCCAGCAGGACAGUCGCAUGAUGCCCCGCGGCGCAGGCACAUGAUGCACGACAACUCGCGCACAUGGUGCCCAGUGGCUCGGACACACGAUGCACAGCAGCUUGGGUGCGUGAUGCCCGACGGCUCGGGCAUGCGAUGGCCGGCAGUGCGGGUGCACAAUGCACAGCAGCUUGGGUGCACAAUGCCCGGCGGCUCAGGCGCAUGAUGCCCGGUGGCACAGUCACGCGAUGCACAGCAGCUCGGGUGCACAACGCCCGACGGCUCAGGCGCAUGAUGCCCGGUGGCACGUGCAGUAACGCGAUGCACAGCAGCUCGGGGGCCCAAUGCCCGCUGCACGCCUUGCCCUGAGCACCCUGCAGCC
rnacentral:lncRNA from 1 species